rnacentral:rRNA from 1 species
AUUGAACGCUGGCGGCAGGCCUAACACAUGCAAGUCGAGCGGAUGAAGGGAGCUUGCUCCUGGAUUCAGCGGCGGACGGGUGAGUAAUGCCUAGGAAUCUGCCUGGUAGUGGGGAUAACGUCCGGAAACGGGCGCUAAUACCGCAUACGUCCUGAGGGAGAAAGUGGGGGAUCUUCGGACCUCACGCUAUCAGAUGAGCCUAGGUCGGAUUAGCUAGUUGGUGGGGUAAAGGCCUACCAAGGCGACGAUCCGUAACUGGUCUGAGAGGAUGAUCAGUCACACUGGAACUGAGACACGGUCCAGACUCCUACGGGAGGCAGCAGUGGGGAAUAUUGGACAAUGGGCGAAAGCCUGAUCCAGCUAUGCCGCGUGUGUGAAGAAGGUCUUCGGAUUGUAAAGCACUUUAAGUUGGGAGGAAGGGCAGUAAGUUAAUACCUUGCUGUUUUGACGUUACCAACAGAAUAAGCACCGGCUAACUUCGUG